UCUCCUCCUUUCUCCUCUCUCCUUCUCUCCAGGUCUAACUGGUUGAAGCCGUGCUGUGGGCGGAGGGUAGCCCUGUGGCAGGUGUGUCUGCUCAGUGCAGGCUUCAACUGUUUCCUGGUGGCCCUGGUCAUCCUGGUGGUGGUCUUCUUGACCUUGGAACUCCUCAUAGACACCAAGCAUCUACAAUUUGCCAAUGCUAUUCAAUUUGCCAGCGUCAUCCAUUGGAUCAGCCUUGCCAUCCUUUCACUCUUCUUCACUGAGACUGUCUUCAGGAUUGUAGUCCUUGGGAUUUGGGACUACAUUGAGAACAAAGUAGAGGUAAUAUUAAUUACGCAAGCUUCAUAGCAAGUACUGAAAAUAUAAUAACUUUCCCUCGAGAAAUCAUGAGUUUUAUCAUUGAACUAUUUUUUUCCCCUCAAAUCAAUUCACAUCACAAUUUUUAAAUGUUAAAUGCUGCCAAAAAGUCUGAGGGCAUUGUAAUCUUCCUCAUAUAAAAACCUCAAUGUAAUAUCUCCUAAUG